GAUGAACGCUGGCGGCGUGCUUAACACAUGCAAGUCGAACGGAAAGGCCCAAGCUUGCUUGGGUACUCGAGUGGCGAACGGGUGAGUAACACGUGGGUGAUCUGCCCUGCACUUCGGGAUAAGCCUGGGAAACUGGGUCUAAUACCGGAUAGGACCACAUUUUGGAUGGUGUGGUGGAAAGUUUUUCGGUGUGGGAUGAGCUCGCGGCCUAUCAGCUUGUUGGUGGGGUAAUGGCCUACCAAGGCGUCGACGGGUAGCCGGCCUGAGAGGGUGUACGGCCACAUUGGGACUGAGAUACGGCCCAGACUCCUACGGGAGGCAGCAGUGGGGAAUAUUGCACAAGGGGCGCAAGCCUGAUGCAGCGACGCCGCGGGGGGGAUGACGGCCUUCGGGUUGUAAUCUCCGUUCGCUAGGGACGAAGCGUUAUGUGACGGUACCUGGAGAAGAAGCACCGGCUAACUACGUG
rnacentral:rRNA from 1 species